GCGAGAGUGCUGGAACCGGUAGACAGGCACGUUUGAGGUGCGUGUGACAACAGUCGUGGGAGUUCAAGUCUCCUCUCUCGCACCA
rnacentral:tRNA from 1 species